CGUCAUCCACAAGCGGCCUCUGAAGGGAGAGCGGGGAAUGUUGUGCUGUGUCUGUGGAGCUCUGGAACAAACUUCAGAGCCUCUUCCCAACUACCAGUGUUUUUCAGACAUAACAAAAUACGCAUCAUCUGAUCUAAGAAGCCGGAAAUCCCGCCCCCUCUUCCCGGCGCUUCCGGAUGACGUCCCGAUACCAGGGGAAAGCCUUCUGGUCUGAAAAACAGCGCGGUCGGGAAGAAAGCUGGUAGCUGGCCUUGAGGCCAUGCCCACGGCCUCUUAACAGGGUGUGCUUGUAGCUGGUUUUAGUCUAUUACACAACUAUUUAAAAAAUUUAUUUUCCUCCUCUCUUAACUUAUUCUCUGCUUGCUCCCCGUAUUUAUAAGCAUUUAACAUGGUGUUAAAAUGAUGUUUUCACAAGUCUCACUCAACUUUAAACUGAUGCUAGGAAUGUAACAUAUGAAACUUUGUGCCUAGUUUGUCACCAGCACCUGGUACAAUGCUUGGACUAUGGUAGGCGACACUAUCUCUCACUCCCCUUAACUCAUUUGUUAAAUUUAAUGUGAAAAUGAAAUUAAAGGCACAUAGUGCAAAUUAGUGGCCUUUGGGUCAAAA